rnacentral:tRNA from 1 species
GGAGGGGUGGGUGAGUGGCUGAAACCAACGGUUUGCUAAACCGUCCUAGGGUGUCAAACCCUAGCGCGGGUUCGAAUCCCGCCCCCUCCGCCA